CCUAAGAUGUUUUGGACUUUAUAUGCGGGAGGGGAGUGUAGCCUUUAACAUGCCUAUGUGAAUGAAGUGGAUCCUGAUCUUGGUGUAAUGGAUUGGGAGAACCAUAACAUCUCAAUGGAAGAGUUUGUAAAGCUUCGGAGGACUUGGGUGAGAAAUAAUUUCUGAAAAACUAUGACCGACUAGUGCGUGCCAAGACCUUUUUUU
rnacentral:lncRNA from 1 species